CACAGACCACACACCAUGUACUUUGGGCUCAGCUGGGUUUUUCUUGUCCUUAUUUUAAAAGGUGUCCAGUGUGAGGUGCAGCUGGUGGAAUCUGGAGGAGGCUUAGUGCAGCCUGAAAAGUCCAUGAAACUCUCCUGUGCAGCCUCUGGAUUCACUUUCAGUGACUAUGCAAUGGCCUGGGUUCAUCAUACUCCAGAGAAGGGUCUAGAAUGGGUUGCAACCAUUAGUACUAGUGGUGGUAUCACCUACUAUCCAGACACCUUGAAAGGCCGAUUCACCAUCUCAAGAGACAAUGCAAAGAACAUGCUAUACCUGCAAAUGUGCAAUCUGAAGUCUGAGAACACGGCCAUGUUUUACUGUGUAAGACACACA